CCGAUGGCAGAUUAGCUAGUUGGGGGGGUAAAGGCCUACCAAGGCGACAAUUUGUAGCUGGUCUGAGAGGACGACCAGCCACACUGGGACUGAGACACGGCCCAAACUCCUACGGGAGGCAGCAGUGGGGAAUUUUGGACAAUGGGCGCAGGCCUGAUCCAGCAUUGCCGCGGGUGUGAAAAAGGCCUUCGGGUUGUAAAGCACUUUUGUCCGGAAAGAAAACCUCUGGGUUAAUACCCCGGGGGGAUGACGGUACCGGAAAAAUAAGCACCGGCUAACUACUUGCCAGCAGCCGCGGUAAUACGUAGGGUGCAAGCUUUAAUCGG
rnacentral:rRNA from 1 species